CUUUAUAACAGGUCUUUAAGUUUGUUGUAUACAGUGCUUUGAGUACUCUUUUUUUCUUUUAUUGUACUUAUCUUCAUCUUCACAAUAAAAAUGAAGUAGUUAGGGAAAGGAAAGCACUUUUUUGAGAAAUGGAGAACUGAAUUAUUGACAGCUGAGACCAAGCUCUAUUUCCUUAAUUAUUGCACAGUGCUAUAGAAAAAAAAAAAACAAACCCUGUAAAUUGAUCCUGGUAGUUUACUUGAAGAUUGGGGAUGUAACCUGAAUAUCCAGGCUUCCUCUUAAUUACUAUAGUAAUACCUUCAGGAUUGUUUUCAGUAAUAUAUCACCUUAAGCUUUUUUGCUUCUUGCUCUAGAAAUUUAUAAAUGGUUUUAACUAAUAAAUUGAUAUUGUUG
rnacentral:lncRNA from 1 species